rnacentral:rRNA from 1 species
GGCGAACCGAGCGACCGUUGUUCGGAAUCACUGGGCUUAAAGGGCGCGUAGGCGGGCUGCCGCGUCCGGGGUGAAAUCCCACGGCUCAACCGUGGAACGGCCCCGGGUACGGGCGGCCUCGAGGGGGGUAGGGGCGUGCGGAACUGUGGGUGGAGCGGUGAAAUGCGUUGAUAUCCACAGGAACUCCGGUGGCGAAGGCGGCACGCUGGACCCCCACUGACGCUGAGGCGCGAAAGCCAGGGGAGCGAACGGG